rnacentral:rRNA from 1 species
UACCAGCACCCCGAGUGGUCGGGACGAUUAUUGGGCCUAAAGCAUCCGUAGCCGGCUCUGCAAGUCUUCCGUUAAAUCCACCUGCUUAACAGAUGGGCUGCGGAGGAUACUAUAGAGCUAGGAGGCGGGAGAGGCAAGCGGUACUUAGUGGGUAGGGGUAAAAUCCGUUGAUCCAUUGAAGACCACCAGUGGCGAAGGCGGCUUGCCAGAACGCACUCGACGGUGAGGGAUGAAAGCUGGGGGAGCAAACCGG